AUGAUGGGAGUGCCUUUUCGUUUCCUUGCUUUUCGGUGUGGCCUGGGUGUCCUCAGGUGGGCGGCUAGGCACCGUGGUGGAACCUCACUCCUGUUGCAUGCAAGUAGGCACUGGGGCUCUUUUAGUGCAUGUUUUGUUGUAGUGUUUGUAGUGUUGCCCCCCAGACUAGUGAGACGGGGUACUUUACCAGUAGUCUGCCCCCACUGAGGCCCCAGCCCACUGAUUUGAGUUUCAUAUGUAUUUCAUUAGUUUUAGCUCUGUUUUAUAGUUGGUUUCCUUUUAGAUCAUUUUUGUAAUAAAAACAUUUGUUCUAUUUUACCUACUGUCUCUGCCUCAUCAGUUUCGAACCUGUGCCCUUUCAAAGAAUUUGGUUUUCAUAUCCAUAUCAGCUUGCUCUAUUCAAAAUGCUGUUAGUUAAAUUCAUAACCAAUCCACAUCACAUCAGGCAUGCAGUGCAAAUGCUAGAAUCGGUUAUUGGUAGAGUGAAAUUAAUGGGCCAGAGCUUCACGGGCUAAUUAUACCAAUUUACCCCCAUCAAACUACAGGCCAAGUUUAAUUUUUUUUACAGCAUUACGACACUUUGUAUCCACUGUUUUAUGUUAAAUGUUUUAACCAGCUUUUUUUUCUUGGUUUAUAAAUGAUUAAACACAACAUAAUUACAUCUGUAUUUAUAAUUAAAAGAGGAGUGUAAGAUAAAUAUCACAUUUGAGAAAUGUAAUUAGCAGUAUGUGUUCACCAUCCUUAUACAGUAUAUUCAGCAUCCAUCAUUUGAGACAGAGUUAAAAGGGUUAAAUAGAUACAUUGAAAAUAUAAGAAAUUCAUAUUUUAUGACGAUAAAGUGCCCUUUUCAACCUCAAUGUUAUAAACAGUGACUUGUAUUAGUGUCUUUUUUAGUUUGGGUCAUUUAUAUGUGCAUUGAUUGAAUUUCACAGCACUGAAUGUAGAGAAAACACUUAUCUAAUUUAAAAACAGAACAUUUCCUUUUUUUAUGCUGCUGACCAGAAAGGAAAAUAAAUCCUUUGACUUGGUACGCAGCAACUGGAUAAGCAGGGUGUGUUAAAGAGGACA
rnacentral:lncRNA from 15 species